rnacentral:misc_RNA from 1 species
GAUGAAGAACGUAGCGAAAUGCGAUAAGUAAUGUGAAUUGCAGAAUUCAGUGAAUCAUCGAAUCAUUGAACGCACAUUGCGCCCGCCAGUAUUCUGGCGGGCAUGCCUGUUCGAGCGUCAUUUCAACCAUCAAGCCCCCGGCUUGUGUUGGGGACCUGCGGCUGCCGCAGGCCCUGAAAACCAGUGGCGGGCUCGCUAGUCACUCCGAGCGUAGUAAUACAUCUCGCUCAGGGCGUGCUGCGGGUUCCGGCCGUUAAAAAGCCUUAUUUACCCAAGGUUGACCUCGGAUCAGGUAGGAAGACCCGCUGAACUUAAGCAUAUCAAUAAGCGGAGGA